AAUGAACGUUGGCGGCGUGGAUUAGGCAUGCAAGUCGCGCGAGAAAUUUCUUCGGAAGAUGGAAAGCGGCGGAAGGGAGAGGAUAAGGUAGAAAUCUACCCUCGGGACGGGGAUAGCUGCGGGAAACUGCUGGUAAUACCCGAUAAUAUCUUUGGAUCAAAGGUGUGAUUCCGCCUGGGGAUGAGUCUACUUCCUAUUAGCUAGUUGGCAGGGUAAUGGCCUACCAAGGCAACGAUGGGUAGCGGGUGUGAGAGCAUGACCCGCCUCACUGGGACUGAGAACUGCCCAGACACCUACGGGUGGCUGCAGUCGAGAAUCUUCGGCAAUGGGCGCAAGCCUGACCGAGCGACGCCGCGUGCGGGAUGAAGGCCUUCGGGUUGUAAACCGCUGUCGUAGGGGAACAAAUGUAGUGGGGUUCUCCCCAUUACUUGAGUGAUCCUAGGAGGAAGGGGAGGCUAAGCUCGUG
rnacentral:rRNA from 1 species